CUGAGAUUUGUAUCUAAACGUCUGCAUCAGCUGCAGGGGACUCGUUUAAAUCCAUUGUUUAGAUACAUCCAUUCUGGCAUUCUGUAUGGUGUACUUGCGGCAUGUAAGCUGUGGGAUGUUUAAGUGCUCUCCUGUCACGAUUUGACAGGUCCCUGAUUUCAAACCUGUUGUGAGAGAUCGUCUAAUGAACAGCACCUUCAACAUCAUCAGUCCGCAUUUCCUGCAUUUCACGAGGACCGACUGGAUUCUUUGGUUCCGUGUGAAACUGGUACCUCUCCUCCCAAGUUUCAGUCCAACCAUGCUGCAGAAUGCAACCUCAAACCUAAGCUGUACAAACUACCAUGUCGUGUGAGUAAUAUUUGACGAACAAGCAAGAUUGCAUGGCACCAACCAAAGUAAAAAAAUGCUAUGGAGGGAUUGUGUGAGAUCGUUCCUUUUCUGUCUUUGCAGCGUGAGUGGGUUGGCCAGAGCUUUCCCUGCAAUGUCGAUGCACACGCGACAAGGAAUCGCAGACGUUAUGGUGGGCUACCUGAGAAGUUCUCCUGGAGUCAUCAACCAGACAGCUUGCAGGCAGGGAAAUCAGAGUGAUUCGGAAUGGCUUGGAGCCAACUUUGGUCCAUUUUCCAAAUACACGACAUACUCUGAGCUCAAAGUCUUCAACCUCUCUGUGCUGGCAGUUUCGGACUCCCUCUCACCAGACCAAAAGGCUGAGCUGAUCCUGGACCCAGACAGAGACGCUUUCGAGGAUGAGGCUGUAGUAAGGGAGGUGUUCAACAGCUUGACGGAGCUGGAAAAUGAUGAGCAGUUGGAUCCGUUUUUCCAGGCUUUUGCAAAAAUAAACAAGCAGGUGAAUGCUUAACUUGAAGAUUGUCGGAUUUUGACACAAAGUUGGCUGACAAACAGGCUGUGUAAAACUUGUCCUGCACUCAAUGAAUUAUUUCAGGAGCUAUUAACGGGCCAAGAUGAGGCUCAAAAUGAUACUUUUAUCCUAUGCUUCUUGGUGAAAUGCACUGAAUUACAACAACUGUUUCACCAAGAUUGCUCUCUUUUCCACAGUGAUUUCAAAAGGGUAAAAUGUCCCCUGAACUGAAACAUCAAUCCUUUUACUUCCAGAGAAACAUCACCUUCCUCAAAAAUCCAAUUGUGCGAGACACCAUCUUGAACCUGACCUUGACGGCCCUUGCUCCUAAAUUUCAUGACUUUGAGCCCCAAGACUUUCGCCUGUGGUUCCAGGACUAUUUGGCUCCUCUAAUGCCAAGCCUCGGUCCUGGCAGCUUGGUGGGGAUCCCCCGCAACAUCACCUGUGCAUCCUAUGCAGCCAUGUAAGAUAUUAUGUUUCUGUAUUCCACAGUUAGACAGACAUCUUGGGUUUGCUUGGUGUCAAACUGUGGCCCCAGACAAGUCACAAUGACUUCUGUUGUCUUCCUUCAGACUCACUGGUCUGCGGCAAAGUUUGAGAACCCUGCCACUGGCCCUUUCACAGGGUGUGAGAUCAGGCAUUGAGUCACUCAAGGAGACAUUUACACGUAGGUGGCACGACACUCUCUUGACAAAUGUUUUCAGAAAAGCGCAAAACCCAUGCUUUAAUGAUAGCUG
rnacentral:lncRNA from 1 species